rnacentral:rRNA from 1 species
UACGGGGGGGGCAAGCGUUGUUCGGAAUUACUGGGCGUAAAGGGCGCGUAGGCGGCCAUCUAAGUCAGACGUGAAAUCCCCCGGCUUAACCUGGGAACUGCGUCUGAUACUGGAAGGCUUGAGGAUGGGAGAGGGAUGUAGAAUUCCAGGUGUAGCGGUGAAAUGCGUAGAUAUCUGGAGGAACACCGGUGGCGAAGGCGGCAUCCUGGACCGACACUGACGCUGAGGCACGAAGGUCAGGGGAGCAAACGGG